rnacentral:rRNA from 1 species
AGAGUUUGUUUCUGGCUCAGGAUGAACGCCGGCGGUGUGCCUAAUACAUGCAAGUCGUACGCACUGGCCCAACUGAUUGAUGGUGCUUGCACCUGAUUGACGUUGGAUCACCAGUGAGUGGCGGACGGGUGAGUAACACGUAGGUAACCUGCCCCGGAGCGGGGGAUAACAUUUGGAAACAGAUGCUAAUACCGCAUAACAACAAAAGCCACAUGGCUUUUGUUUGAAAGAUGGCUUUGGCUAUCACUCUGGGAUGGACCUGCGGUGCAUUAGCUAGUUGGUAAGGUAACGGCUUACCAAGGCGAUGAUGCAUAGCCGAGUUGAGAGACUGAUCGGCCACAAUGGAACUGAGACACGGUCCAUACUCCUACGGGAGGCAGCAGUAGGGAAUCUUCCACAAUGGGCGCAAGCCUGAUGGAGCAACACCGCGUGAGUGAAGAAGGGUUUCGGCUCGUAAAGCUCUGUUGUUGGAGAAGAACGUGCGUGAGAGUAACUGUUCACGCAGUGACGGUAUCCAACCAGAAAGUCACGGCUAACUACGUGCCAGCAGCCGCGGUAAUACGUAGGUGGCAAGCGUUAUCCGGAUUUAUUGGGCGUAAAGCGAGCGCAGGCGGUUGCUUAGGUCUGAUGUGAAAGCCUUCGGCUUAACCGAAGAAGUGCAUCGGAAACCGGGCGACUUGAGUGCAGAAGAGGACAGUGGAACUCCAUGUGUAGCGGUGGAAUGCGUAGAUAUAUGGAAGAACACCAGUGGCGAAGGCGGCUGUCUGGUCUGCAACUGACGCUGAGGCUCGAAAGCAUGGGUAGCGAACAGGAUUAGAUACCCUGGUAGUCCAUGCCGUAAACGAUGA